UGCAUCUGCCAAACAAUAUUAUCAGGUAUUUAGCUACAUCAGACUCUCAUAGGCAAAUAAACUUGAGAAAAGCUACUGAAUAUUUUCUCCUUUUGGAGACUCUUAAAGAACAUUAGCAUAUUGUAGGCACUGAACAGAGAAAUUUGUUUGUCUUCAUUCGGCCCAUUGUUUUUCCAUAUGUGAUUCAACCUGUAGCAUUUUUAUUUUGUAAAACUCCUAUUAUGCUUAGGAAUGAAUCCAAGGAAUACAGUUAUAGAAAUGCUGGAAUCAAGUAUAAACCUUUCUUGUUGUGGAAGGUGGACUUUCAAGUCUUGGCUUGUAGUGGAGAAGAAUGAAGUGAGAAUCAGAAAAGAGAAGGUGGUAAUCAAGGGCUUCUCUCUGUCACUCACUCUUCCUAGGUAUGGACAAACUGCCUUUGUCAUCCAUCCCAUUAUGGCCCAGAGAGCAUCUGGGUAGUCAUUACAGAGGAUCUUCUUAAGACAUAAAAGUGUCUUUUGUAAACUCUGUGGUGUAAAAUUGAAAAAAAAAGUGAAUUUCAAAAAAUUAUUAUUAAUGGCACUUUUACCACAGUGCUUUUUAUCAUAAAACCUAGAUAUCUACAUUGAAGGUGGAUAAAAAAGGGAGUGAAUGUGAACAAAUGGAAAGGACCUUUGGAUCUGAGAUGUAAAGAACUGUUUGAAUCCUUGCUUAGGCAUUUUCUAUAUCUGAAUCUCAUUCUUUUUUUUCACUUUCUAUGUGUGUAGAACUGGUAAACAAAUGAAAAAAAUGGUAUAGAAUAUGUGGUAAAUAAGUGCCAUGUAUUAUUACUACACAUUUUAGUUCUAAAUAUCUAAACACUACUUUCUCUUGGAUAAAAUAUCAUGCAACUAGAGAUUCAAGAAAAUGCUACAAAAUUACAUAUAAAAAUAACUCCAAAUUAGUAAAGAACUAGAACAAGAAAUGAUUCACACACACAAUUUUUAAAUAAAGUGAAUUGUUUAAAAAAUUCCGAAACACUAAUGUGGUAUAAAUAUCAUUGGCUAUGAAAUGGUAUAACUGCAUGGGGCUUGCUAAUAGAAUACAAAAGUUAUUAUACUGGAAAUAUUGCAUGGAAAUUAUAUGUUUUUAUAUGUAAUCAUCAUGUAAUCCUUUAUGUGAAAAGAAGCUUAAGACACCUAAUCCAUUUC
rnacentral:lncRNA from 10 species